rnacentral:rRNA from 1 species
UGCAGUCGAGCGGUAGAGAGAAGCUUGCUUCUCUUGAGAGCGGCGGACGGGUGAGUAAUGCCUAGGAAUCUGCCUGGUAGUGGGGGAUAACGCUCGGAAACGGACGCUAAUACCGCAUACGUCCUACGGGAGAAAGCAGGGGACCUUCGGGCCUUGCGCUAUCAGAUGAGCCUAGGUCGGAUUAGCUAGUUGGUGAGGUAAUGGCUCACCAAGGCGACGAUCCGUAACUGGUCUGAGAGGAUGAUCAGUCACACUGGAACUGAGACACGGUCCAGACUCCUACGGGAGGCAGCAGUGGGGAAUAUUGGACAAUGGGCGAAAGCCUGAUCCAGCCAUGCCGCGUGUGUGAAGAAGGUCUUCGGAUUGUAAAGCACUUUAAGUUGGGAGGAAGGGCAGUAACCUAAUACGUUAUUGUUUUGACGUUACCGACAGAAUAAGCACCGGCUAACUCUGUG